ensembl:lncRNA
CCCCUAUAUAAAAUAAGAAGCUUAAAAAAACAGAAAUGACAAGAUGAAAAAGCAGAGAGAACAGUUAGGUUUGUAUUAAACUAGGUCUAAGAUAACGAGAGCUAUCAUAUUGUGAACCUGCCCCCAUGACUGGAGGUUGCAGCAAACUGCGCCCUCCUGAUUAUCCUAGUAAGCAAGCUGAAGGGACAUUCUUGGGGGCAGGAUACCUCUCUGCUCCGCUUCACUGCCUGCCCUUGUCUCCGUCUCCAUGGAAACAAGAUGUUCCUGAUCAACAGCAGAGUCUUAACUUGCCUCCCUCUUUAUGGUGCCGCUGAUCAAACUCCCCAGUAUGCUGCUGCUGCUAAGUCACUUCAGUCGUGUCCGACUCUGUGCGACCCCAUAGAGGGCAGCCCACCAGGCUCCCCCGUCACUGGGAUUCUCCAGGCAAGAACACUGGAGUGGGUUGCCAUUUCCUUCUCCAAUGCAUGAAAGUGGAAAGUGAAAGUCAAGUCGCUCAGUCGUGCCCGACUCUUAGCGACCCCAUGGACCGCAGCCCACCAGGCUCCUCCGUCCAUGGGAUUUUCCAGGCAAGAGUACUGGAGUGGGGUGCCAUUGCCUUCUCCCCCCAGUAUAGCUAUUCCCUUAUGAUCUCACAGGACUUCUGCCAUCAUUGGCAUUAUUCAGUGCGGGCUGAAAGGAGUUAUUUUGUCUUCCUGCAUGGAGAGCAGGAGGGCCCCCUGACUUCUGCUUGCCAAAUUAUACGUGUCUGUCCUUUAAUUAGACGUGUCUUUCCCACCCGCUGUGCUGGACGCGGCAGGUGGCGCUGGAACAGGGACUUGAAGUCGGGAAGGAUUCCUCCCGAGGGAAACACUGAACGUGAAGACAGCGAGCGUCUGCAGAUUCAGCCUCAGAUCAAGGAGAUAGUCCCCUGAGACUCAUCGUUAUUGACCACGAUGGCCCUGCAGUCAAGACAAAAAGGGGGUGAUGUUGCAGCCUGGCGGAGCAGAGACCAGAACCUGCCCCAUGACUGGAGGGUGCAGCAUAUCGCACCCUGUGAUUGUCCUAGUGAGCGAGCCGAAGGGACAUACUCUCUGCUCCGCUUCACUGCCUGCCCCUGCCUCCGUCUCCAUGGAAACAAACCAAGAUGUUCCUGAUCAACAGCAGGGCCUUAACUUGCCUCCCCCUUUAUGGUGCACUGAUCAAACUCCCCAGUAUAGCUGUUUCCAAGUGCUCUCACGGGACUUCUGCCAAUAAAAGUGCGGGCUGAAAGGAGUCAUUUUGUCUUCCUGCCAUGGAGAGCAGCAGGGCCCCUGACUCCCCGCUUGCCAAAUUAUACGUGUCUGUCUUUUCAUUACUCGAGUCUUUCUCACCCGUUGUGCUGGACACAGCAAUUAUCGAGCAUUCCCUC